rnacentral:rRNA from 1 species
UACGUAGGGGGCUAGCGUUGUCCGGAAUCAUUGGGCGUAAAGCGCGUGUAGGCGGUCCGGUAAGUCCGCUGUGAAAGUCGGGGGCUCAACCCUCGAAUGCCGGUGGAUACUGUCGGGCUAGAGUGCGGAAGAGGCGAGUGGAAUUCCUGGUGUAGCGGUGAAAUGCGCAGAUAUCAGGAGGAAUACCGGUGGCGAAGGCGGCAUCCUGGACCAUUACUGACGCUGAGGCGCGAAAGCUAGGGGAGCAAACAGG